UACAGGGGGUGCAAACGUUGCUCGGAAUUAUUGGGCGUAAAGCGCACGUAGGCGGUUCGUUAUGUCGGAUGUGAAAGCCCUUGGCUCAACCGAGGAAGUGCAUCCGAAACUGGCGAGCUAGAGUAUGUAAGAGGGUCGCGGAAUUCCCGGUGUAGAGGUGAAAUUCGUAGAUAUCGGGAGGAACACCGGUGGCGAAGGCGGCGACCUGGGACAAUACUGACGCUGAGGUGCGAAAGCGUGGGGAGCAAAAGGG
rnacentral:rRNA from 1 species